UCCUAGUCUUGCAUUGGAACCACUUCUAGA
rnacentral:piRNA from 1 species